AAAUGUGUUUAAACCACUAUGCACAUUUUCAAUCCUGAUGAACUAGAGCUUUUAUGGGGGAAAAAUUCCACCUCAAUUUUUUUUUUAGAUAAGAACAGCAUUAGAACAUCAAGAUGUCAAAGACAGCUCAUCAUUACUUUUUAAGUGGAAAGUGUAAAGAUGAUAUUAAGCUAAAACCUUUUUUGGUAUACCACUUGAAAAACUCAAGAACCCUUAAGGUAAUGUUAAAGGAAGGAAUGCUUAUUUUAUGGUGUUCAAAUCAUAAAGCUUGGGUAUAAAGGUAUUCAUGAUGUUGUACAGAAUCAUUCUUUAUUAUUCAUCAAGGAACAUAUGGAGAAAGAAAAUCUUAAACAAGGCACUUCUGAUAAUAGAACAGGCUUAUGUACAUCUCUUUCUUGUUAACAUUAUUUCUGAAGGGAAUAUUUAAAUGGACUCUUUUGCCUUCCAACUGAAUGUCAUUAACGCAGCCUACAGACAAAGGACGUAUCACACACUUCAAGUAUAUUGAUGAUGAAUAUCUGAUGUGGGGUGCUAAUACAUUUAACACUUCUUUAAUGUAGGAUUUAUGAAAGAGUUUUGAUAAGAUGAUACUAUUAGCCAAUCAGGCUUGGCGGAAAGUAUCACCGCAAACAAUGAAUGGAGUACGGAAGAAUCUAGUACAUAUUUUGCUAACUUCCAGGAGUUAACGGAAAUGUUGACUGUAAAGCAAAAAGUCUUAUAUCUUGCUAAAGGAGGCUGAAUUUAAUGAAAUGGACAGUAGAAAUGUUGAAGUUUAUAACUGAAAAAAUCUUUCCACUUGAUGCUCAUCACUAGUCAAGCAAAGAAAAAGGAGUCACAAAUACUUGACACCGAAUCUUAAAAAAAAAAAAAAAAAUUUAGACCACACAAAUAAAAUGUUCGUUGUUACAAGUGAGUUUGAUCAUGACUGGAGAAGACUCACCACAUUAAAAAAUUAAACUACAAAUAAAGUAUUGGGUGACCAGGAGCUGAAAAAGUGCAAGUGAAGUAACUUUAAACAGUUUAUGCAUUCUGAGGAGUUUCUUCAUCCAGUUGCUUUGUCUAUUGCUUCAGUUGAUGGUUCAGAGUUACUUCCAUGGAUUCAGACAAGGAUGAACCUCGGGCAUCUAUUUCACUACUUCACCAGUUCACUCUGGCUUAAUUCACUACCAAACAGCAAUGGGAGCUAAAGCUCCUAUUUCUUUUUUUAACCACCAUAUUUCACACAACCAACUCUAUAAUCCAUUAAUCGGACAUUUAAAAACUUGCCUUAUUUAUUUUGCUAAGUGCUAUUGACGAUCAUUAAUUAUCUAACAUUUCAUUAUUUGUUUACACUACAGUACAUGUUCAUUGGUGAAGUUACUAUUUCUCUGUAUGCAAAGAAACACAGACAAUCUCUAACUCCCCCCCUCCUGCUUUACAAUGCUACAAUUUUAGAUUGUUCUUUAGAGAAAAACAAACAUUAUAUAAAACUGAAGAAUGGGAAUAGCAAUCACUACCACAUGCCAAAUCCAUAAUUUCUCAAAAUUGCUAUUAAUUCCUGAAAUAUAUUUCUCCUAAGAUCUCUAUGGCUUGCUACCUCAACUUUUUUUACAUCUCUGCUCAAAUGUCAUCUGAUUACCAUUUAUAAAAAUGUAAUCACCAUCUCCAUGCUUUAUGUCCCUCUUUCCACUUUGUCUCCAUGGCACUUAUCUAUAUUCAUAUACAACCAGCAUGUGAGAGGUUUGGGUGUGUGUAUAUACACAUUCAAUCACAGGUAUAAUUUACUUGUUUAUUAUCGGCCUCUCUUCACUAGAACAUAAAGGUCCAUGAAGACAGGGAUAUUUUUUCUUUUGUUCACUAGAGCAGUACCUGGCAUGUAGUAGGAGCUUAGUAAAUCUUUCUUAAAUUAAUAAACUAGUCAUGGACCAGAAAUAUGUUUUAUAAAGCCCAACAUGCUAGUUGUGCUUGGGGGAAAAGUCACAACUGGCGAAAAGAAAGAACUAAAUUAGUAGCAUUCUAUACAAGAACAAACAGGUGAUGAUACAGUUGGUGAAUUCAUCAGUUACUCAAGAAAACUGGGAGAAAUAUCACUAAAAAGGCUUACUGAAGAUACUGUAAUACCAGCCAGUCAUAUAGCACAUAUUAGUUCUUCUGUUACUUCCACAUAAAAGUGCUUCUUCCCAUUAAGUACUUAAAUAUAAAGAUUUUUGAACAGCACAUACAGAUUGCUAUAUAUUAAAUACAGGCUAAUUUUACUGACUGCCAUAUUAGAGACAGCACAGGGAAGAAGCAUUACCUAAAGACAGAUGGUAAUUCAAAAAAUAGGGCCCCCAAUAGAAUUACAUCUGUUUUGAUGAUCAGGUCUGCAUUCUCACCUACUGUAAUGAAUUAGAAUACACAAAGAAAUUAUUUA